GGCCGCGGGAAUUCGAUUUCCGGUUGAUCCUGCCAGACCCGACUGCUAUCAGAGUGGGACUAAGCCAUGCGAGUCAACGUAGCAAUGCGUGGCGAACGGCUCAGUAACACGUAGUCAACAUGCCCAGGGGACGUGGAUAACCUCGGGAAACUGAGAUUAAACCGCGAUAGGUCAAGAUUUCUGGAAUGGAUCGUGUCUUAAAUCUACAUGGCCCCUGGAUUGGACUGCGGCCGAUCAGGCUGUUGGUGAGGUAAUGGCCCACCAAACCUAUAACCGGUACGGGCUCUGAGAGGAGAAGCCCGGAGAUGGGCACUGAGACAAGGGCCCAGGCCCUAUGGGGCGCAGCAGGCGCGAAACCUCUGCAAUGGGCGAAAGCCUGACAGGGUUACUCUGAGUGAUUUCCGCUAAGGAGAUCUUUUGGCAGCUCUAAAAAUGGUGCAGAAUAAGGGGUGGGCAAGUCUGGUGUCAGCCGCCGCGGUAAUACCAGCACCCCGAGUGGUCGGGACGAUUAUUGGGCCUAAAGCAUCCGUAGCCGGUUGUGCAAGUCCUCCGUUAAAUCCAGCCGCUCAACGGAAGGGCUGCGGAGGAUACUACAGAACUAGGAGGCGGGAGAGGCAAGCGGUACUUAGUGGGUAGGGGUAAAAUCCUUUGAUCCAUUGAAGACCACCAGUGGCGAAGGCGGCUUGCCAGAACGCGCUCGACGGUGAGGGAUGAAAGCUGGGGGAGCAAACCGGAUUAGAUACCCGGGUAGUCCCAGCUGUAAACGAUGCAGACUCGGUGAUGGGCUAGCCUCGUGUCAGCCCAGUGCCGCAGGGAAGCCGUUAAGUCUGCCGCCUGGGGAGUACGGUCGCAAGACUGAAACUUAAAGGAAUUGGCGGGGGAGCACCACAAGGGGUGAAGCCUGCGGUUCAAUUGGACUCAACGCCGGGAAUCACUAGUGAAUUC
rnacentral:rRNA from 1 species